CUUCAACGAUUUCAAGAUUCUAUUAAAUUUUGACAGGCCAAGAGGUAUUUAUUUAUUUCUAUUUUGCAAGGUGUAGUGUUACAAUUAUAACACUGUAACACAUAAAUGGAAACAAGUAUAAGUUUACUGACAUAUUAACGUGUAUUAUAAAGUGUAAAGUACGCUUUACAAACAACAUGAGUGUUAACUAAGCCUCGGUAGGUUGACACAAUCGACAAAAUUAUACAUAAAGUAUAAUAUAUAAAACAUAAAUACAUAAAGUUUUACAUUCGUUUUUAUUAAAUUAACUUAUAACUAUAAUUAUUUAUUUCAAUUUUUUACGUAGUGUUAUAAAUGCUUGGUGGUAUUUUACUGUCCUACAUACAUAUAAAGUGUGAGUAACCUUUACAAAAACGUUUCUGUUGAAUGAGCCUUAGAAGAGGUGAAUAUGGUAGCGGGUCAUCAAUCUGCACGGGCCUACCGCGUCUAUAAUCCUGAAGCUUUGAUUGAGAAUCAGUAACAGUCCAUGACGAGAAGCGUCUUUUGGUUUCUUCAGAACGCGCUAGGAUUUUCGGACUUGUUUCUUACUAUUUACCUUUUUACUGGGGAAUUCCAUGGAUUUGGACGUAGCAUCAACAUCUUACAUUUUGCGAUACAUAGAGCCUAGAAGACCGAGCGAAGAAGAAGAAUGAACACCGUCAAACGUGGCCAUAUUUUUUUCUGCCUUUAAUAUAAUUGGACCAAAAAACAGCGCAAAACUUGUGUUUCAAAUUGAAUUUGGCUAAAAAAAGACAUCGCAGAACUAUUGUUAUAAACUUAUUACGCAACACAAGACUUGUUAUUGAGCUACAGUUAAACAGCGCUAAGGAUUUUGCACCUUAGUCUGACACCCUAGAAGGACCAUUCUUGCAUCAGAUUGGAUAUUGCAGCUGAGUCUGACAUCGUAGAAUGACCAUUCUUGCAUCAGAUUGUGUUCUGCACCCGAAGUCGACAUCGUAGCAGAACCAUUUUUGCAUCAUAUUGUGCUCUUCACCCGAGCCCAAUAUCGUAGGAGAACCAUUCUUGCAUCAGAUUCACAUGAACGAGGCAUCCUCGUAAUAUCAGCGAGGUCCCUAAGGACGUAAAAUUUAAUUCUUCAUGGCGUUUUAUUCUAAUGUCGUAAGAGAUGUACCUGUAGAACGUGUAUUGUUUGAUAAAUUGUACGUUUCGUACGAUGUUAUAUCAAUAA